rnacentral:rRNA from 1 species
GAUGAACGCUGGCGGCGUGCCUAAUACAUGCAAGUCGAACGCACAGCGAAAGGUGCUUGCACCUUUCAAGUGAGUGGCGAACGGGUGAGUAACACGUGGACAACCUGCCUCAAGGCUGGGGAUAACAUUUGGAAACAGAUGCUAAUACCGAAUAAAACUUAGUGUCGCAUGACACAAAGUUAAAAGGCGCUUCGGCGUCACCUAGAGAUGGAUCCGCGGUGCAUUAGUUAGUUGGUGGGGUAAAGGCCUACCAAGACAAUGAUGCAUAGCCGAGUUGAGAGGAUGAUCAGCCACAAGGGAACUGAGACACGGUCCAGACGACGAAGGGAGGAAGCAGUGGGGAAUAGUGGACAAUGGGUGCAAGCCUGAUACAGCCAUGACGCGGGGGUGAAGAAGGCAUUAGGGUUGGAAAGUACUUGUGUUGGGAAAGAAAAGCAGCAGGGUAAUACCCCGCUGUUCUGACGGUACCAAAAGAAUAAGCACCGGCUAACUUCGUG